CCUACGGGCGGCUGCAGUGGGGAAUAUUGGACAAUGGGGGCAACCCUGAUCCAGCCAUGCCGCGUGUGUGAAGAAGGCCCUCGGGUUGUAAAGCACUUUCAGUGAGGAAGAACGCCUGGUGGUUAAUACCCAUCAGGAAAGACAUCACUCACAGAAGAAGCACCGGCUAACUCCGUGCCAGCAGCCGCGGUAAUACGGAGGGUGCGAGCGUUAAUCGGAAUUACUGGGCGUAAAGCGCGCGUAGGUGGCUUGAUAAGCCGGUUGUGAAAGCCCCGGGCUCAACCUGGGAACGGCAUCCGGAACUGUCAAGCUAGAGUGCAGGAGAGGAAGGUAGAAUUCCAGGUGUAGCGGUGAAAUGCGUAGAGAUCGGGAGGAAUACCAGUGGCGAAGGCGGCCUUCUGGACUGACACUGACACUGAGGUGCGAAAGCGUGGGUAGCAAACAGGAUUAGAUACCCCGGUAGUC
rnacentral:rRNA from 1 species